UACGGAGGGUGCAAGCGUUAUCCGGAUUCACUGGGUUUAAAGGGUGCGUAGGUGGGUUGGUAAGUCAGUGGUGAAAUCUCCGAGCUUAACUUGGAAACUGCCAUUGGUACUAUUAGUCUUGAAUAUUGUGGAGGUCAGCGGAAUAUGUCAUGUAGCGGUGAAAUGCUUAGAGAUGACAUAGAACACCAAUUGCGAAGGCAGCUGGCUACACAUAUAUUGACACUGAGGCACGAAAGCGUGGGGAUCAAACAGG
rnacentral:rRNA from 1 species